GGAUGUGAGGGUGAUCUGGCUGCAACAUCUGUCACCCCCUUGAUUGCCAGGGUUGGUGCGGCUGAUCUGGCUGGCUAGGCGGGUGUCCCCUUCCUCCCGCAUCCCUGCAUGUUCUGCCCUUCCGAAGCUCCGCACUCCAUGGAAGGGGACGACCUUUCCCGAUGGGGGAGGAUCGUUCUUGAUCAAGGGUGUAUGAGGAGCUGGGCUUCCCUGCUAGAGUGUCCAUCAAGCCCUCCAGGUCCAUUUGUAGGAGAACCUAGGGGAGCCAAGCUUCCAAGACUCCAGGCACAUCCAAAUGAGGUGCUGUAUGUGGCAGCCUGCCUUUCUUA
rnacentral:snRNA from 1 species